AUUGAACGCUGGCGGCAGGCCUAACACAUGCAAGUCGAACGAGUGGCGGACGGGUGAGUAAUGUCUGGGAAACUGCCUGAUGGAGGGGGAUAACUACUGGAAACGGUAGCUAAUACCGCAUACCAUCAGAUGUGCCCAGAUGGGAUUGGCUUGUUGGUGGGGUAACGGCUCACCAAGGCGACGAUCCCUAGCUGGUCGGAGAGGAUGACAAGCCAACCGGGAAUGGAAACACGGUCCAGACUCCUACGGGGGGCAGCGGUGGGGAAUAUUGAACAAGGGGCGCAAGCCUGUUGCAGCCAGGCCGCGUGUAUGAGGAAGGCCUUCGGGUUGUAAAGUACUUUCAGCGGGGAGGCGUUACCCGCAGAAGAAGCACCGGCUAACUCCGUGCCAGCAGCCGCGGUAAUU
rnacentral:rRNA from 1 species